CUCGGAUUUCCCAGUAGUCCUGGCUCCUCCUGGCCAGGCUGGGAACCGGUGCAGUUUCCCCUCCCCUGGGGGAGAAGAGUGGCUUUGUUCUCAGGAACCGGAGCAGCCACUCACCCGGCAGCGCAGUGUCUCCUUCUGCGGAAAUGGCCGCCUUCCAUAAAGCAGCAGAGUUUCCCCGAGUACCAGCCAGAAAGUGGGUUCCCUGGCUGGGUGCUCUGGGGAACUCAGACCUGUCCCGUCCUUGAGACACUGUAGCCUGGCCAAGCGGCCAGCCGCCGGCCCUGAGAAGGGCCACAGGAAGCGACUGGUCCUGCCCAGGGCUGGGGGUAGCUGUCAGGCGUGUCCUUGACUUGUGGGUAAGAAUUUGCUACUGUGCCAUGAGAGAUGGGGAGUGGUGACAUUUUAAAUAGGGGGUGAGGGAAGGCCUCUCGGGAGCUGCCUUAUGAGCAGAGACCAGCAUGGGGAAGACACACCAGGCAGAACUUGAGAGAGUGCUCCAGGCAGAACUCGAGACAGUGCUCCAGGCAGAACUCAAGAGAGUGCCCCAGGCAGAGGAAGAACCAGAGCACGGCUCCUCAGUGGGCUGGCUGAGUUGCUGUUUUCCUUUUUUUUAAUUGAAGUGAAAACAUAAACGUAACCAUUUUAAAGUAUGCAAUUCAGUAUAUUUGGUACAUUCAUGAUAUCGUGUGUCUACUGCCUCUAUCUAGUUUUAAAAUAUUUUCAUUGCCCUGAAAGGAAGCCCUGUACCCAUUAAGCAGUUACUCCCCAUUCUCUUUCCCCAGCCUCUGGCAACCAGUGGUCCGUGUUCCAUCUCUACGGGUUUACCUAUUCUAGACAUUUUAUAUAAAUGGAAUCACGCAACACAUGGCCUUUUGUGUCUGGCUUGUUCACUAAGGCUGUUCUCAGGGUUUAUCCACGCUGUAGCAUGUAUCCGUACAUCAUUCCUUUGUGUGGCUGAAAAACACCCCAUUGUAUGGAUGAACCACAGUUUGUUUUUCCACUCAUCUGCCGGUGGACAUUUGAGUUGUUUCCGCCUGUUGGCUUUGUGAAUAGCACGGCUGUAAACAUUCACGUACACAAAUUUAUCUGGAUACUAGUUUUUGGUUUGGGGGCAGUCUCUGCCUAGGAGUGGGACUGCUGGAUCUGUGUGAUAAUUCUGUGUCUAACUUACUGAGGAACUGCCAGACGUUUUCACGGUGGUGGGCCGUUUUACAUUCCCGACAGCAUGCAAGGGUUCCAGCAUCGCUGCGUUCUCAGCAGUGCUUGCUGCUUUCUGGUGUGUUGCUGCAGCCAUCCUAGUGCGUGAGAAGUAGAGUCCUACUGUAAUUUUGGUCUGCAUUUUCCAAAUGACUGAUGAUGUUGAAUAUCCUUGCAGUGCCUGUUGGCCAUUUGUAUAUUUUUUGAAGAACUAUCUAUUCAGAUCCUUUGCCCAAUUUUAAUUACCCUGUUGAUCUUUGUUGUUUUAAGAGUUCUAUAUAUAUUCUGGAUUAUUAGACCUUUCUCAAACACAUGAUUUGCAAAUAUUUCCCCGCAUUCUGUAGGUGGUCUUUCACUGCCUUGAUAAUGCCUUUUGAUUUACAAAAGUUUUUGGUUUUGAUGAUGUCCAGUUUACUUUUUCUUGUGUUACUCAUGCUUUUAAGGGUCGUAUCUGUAAGAAUCCAUUGCUAAAUCCAGUGGAGAUUUAGCAUUAAUCAUGAAGAUUCAUUCCUGUGUUAUCUUCUAAAAGCUUUAUAGUUUUAGCUCUUAUAUUUAGGUUCUUGAUCCAUUUCAAGUUUUGUAUAUUUGGUGAGAGGUGGGGGUCCAACUCCAUUUUUUUACAUCACAGCAGGAUGCAAGUUGUCACGGCAAGCCUGCAUGUUUUUAAAAAACAGCAAGAAGGCCCUUUAGCUAGACCCAUGGUGGAGAAUGAGGUCAAAUAGCAGCUAGAGCCUAGAUCAUGUAGGUUCUUGUAGUUCAGGGGAGAACUUUCUGUUUUGCUUUGUGUGAUAAGAAAGCUAGUGGAGGACUUUGUACAGAAAAAUGACAUGACUUGAUUUUUGUUUUAAAACAAUAGUUUUGACAGCUGGAUGGAGAGUGGAUGGGGUAGGGUGACUUAGAGUGGAAGAGAAGAAAGAAGGAUUCUGUUGUCUGGAGUGGUAGCAGUGGAGGAGGAAAGGAGCCUCAGAUCUGGGAGGUACUGCGAAGACUGAACCAACCAACAGGAUUUCCAACAGAGUAUGACUCCAAGCAUCCAGUUCUGCAGGAAUGAAGUCCUUAGCCCCUGCAGUCGCUGACCUUCAACACACCCUGAAAGGAAUUCAGGGUAAAGAUCAAGAAUGACGCUGUCUGUGCUCUGGGCAAACUACCAGAACAGACCUUCACAUAGUUAGAAGAUAUUUUGAGGAGAAAAUGUUCCAAAACUCUUGCAUCUUCACGUACUUAGUAAAGCAAUAAAACCAUUAAUAAGA